CUGUUGAGGGGCUCUGAUAAGAAAAGCAGUAACUUAAUGAAGUUGGAUGUAUUGUAGCAUGUGAACUCUCUAAACAUGACUGGCAGUAAGAUCCACAAAGCAUCUCGGUGUCUGGAACUCCUUAGGUGGUCAUGGGUUCACCAGACGAAUCAAGGAUGUCCUGACUCCUGAACUGCAGCAGUUUAUUUUACCAGAGAGAGGUUUGCAAUUUGGGACCAUAACAGUUGUUUUCCUGUGUGGAUCUGGCACAGAAAAAGGAUUUGUAACCAUUCUGAGUUGACAGAAGACACACGCACAGAUUUCCACCCCCUCACACCUCCCUGAGUUUACUUGGAAGCGGAGGACUAUGAAUGGUACAGCCACGUUAAAAUAAUUGAGCAGCUCUGA